UAGGAUUACAUUUUUUUUCCCUUGGUGUCAAUGGCUGCGCCGUCACGGGUGCGGGCGGAAGUCGCUGUGUGAGCUCUGUUCCUAGGCGGUGCGUUUCUGGGUUGUCCGUCGGGGGCUUUUCUUGCGAGACGAGCGGACGGUAGAAAGAAGCGCCUUCGCCUGCCAGUAGGAGCGCCAUGUCGGGACGCGAAGGUGGAAAGAAGAAGCCUUUGAAACAAGCCAAGAAGCAGUCGAAGGAAUUAGAUGAGGAAGAUAAAGCUUUCAAGCAGAAGCAGAAGGAGGAGCAAAAGAAACUGGAUGAGAUGAAGGCAAAAGCUGCUGGCAAGGGCCCGCUUACUGGAGGUGGGAUUAAAAAAUCUGGCAAGAAGUAGAGUGUUCUCUGAGACCAUGAUGGCAAGAAAAACAGAAUGAGUUCCUUCCCCUUUGAAGCUUAGCAGUAGGAGGAAUUUCUAAGCUAAUGUUGCGGGAAACAUUAAUAUAAGCACCUUUGUACAUUUCGUUCAAACAAAAUAAAGUAUUGGUUUGUUUUAAUGA